rnacentral:tRNA from 1 species
GGGCUCAUGGUCUAGGGGUUAUGACGUUUCCUUGACAUGGAAAAGGCCGCCGGUUCAAAUCCGGCUGAGCCCACCA